GUGCCAGCCGCCGCGGUAAUACGGAGAGGGCUAGCGUUAUUCGGAAUUAUUGGGCGUAAAGGGCGCGUAGGCUGGUUAAUAAGUUAAAAGUGAAAUCCCGAGGCUUAACCUUGGAAUUGCUUUUAAAACUAUUAAUCUAGAGAUUGAAAGAGGAUAGAGGAAUUCCUGAUGUAGAGGUAAAAUUCGUAAAUAUUAGGAGGAACACCAGUGGCGAAGGCGUCUAUCUGGUUCAAAUCUGACGCUGAAGCGCGAAGGCGUGGGGAGCAAACAGGAUUAGAUACCCUGGUAGUCCACGCUGUAAACGAUGAAUGUUAAAUAUGGGGAGUUUACUUUCUGUAUUACAGCUAACGCGUUAAACAUUCCGCCUGGGGACUACGGUCGCAAGAUUAAAACUUAAAUGAAUUGACGG
rnacentral:rRNA from 1 species